UACGUAGGUCUCAAGCGUUAUCCGGAAUUACUGGGCGUAAAGCGUCUGUAGCCGGAUGUAUAAGUCUGUCUUUAAAUACUCCGAUUCAAUCGGAGAAAAGGGAUAGAUACUGUAUAUCUAGAGGAUUUUAGGGGUUAGUGGAAUUUCCGGUGGAGCGGUGAAAUGCGUUGAUAUCGGAAGGAAUGCCGAAAGCGAUAGCAGCUAACUAUAAAAUAUCUGACGGUGAGAAACGACAGCUUGGGUAGCAAACGGG
rnacentral:rRNA from 1 species